UUCCUGCGAUUCUGACGGUGAAGUCCGACCGAGGUUCAGCGACGGGUGAAGCAACAGCUCGCAUCUGAGAAGAACACCUAAAACCGAGUUGAUUGAAGGUUGUAAACUUCAUAUCUAGGGUUUACCCUAUUUCCAAAUCAGACGAUCGACUCCAAGGUUUGAAAAACUAGAAUCGAAGCUUGAUUUAAGGUUAGAUUUCGAUGCUUAUGUGAUUUUUUUCUUCUUCGUAUGCGU